CUCUGCACGGCUGUGUACACCUGAGCGAGACGCUCAGUCGCUCUCUAAAGCCGCUUCUGCGGAUGACAGACACGGAGAUAAACGUGAGAGGUGGCCCACCACGACUUGCCCUCCUUUGCCCGGGUUUGCCCCUCGCUGCGGAGGCUGUUCUACAUCUGGCCCUUGGAGCAGGCCGGCUGACAGCGUGGUAAAGGAAGAUUUCUGCGGGAGGGCGGCCAGUGCAAAACAAUUCCCUGACCGGGAAUCGAACCCGGGCCGUGGCGCUUUCAGCACCGAAUCCUAGCCACUAGACAACCAUGCAGAUGCGGAAAGCUGCUUUCUCUCCCUUCUUCGACCUGAAGCGACACUUUCCUGUGCUCUAGGAGGACUUGGGUCUUGUGAGAGUCGCCCUUUGCUCCUGGAGUCGUCUCACAAGGCCGUUCACUCCCUGCUUUCUUCAAAAAAAGAACCUGCAGGCGACACACCAAGGACUCCACGAGGGAGUCCUGAGUACUGGAGCGAGUUGCGGCCACGCGGCCGCAGCUCACCACUGGCCUAGAGAUGCCCUUUGCGAGGCGGCAGCAACUGACAAGAUGGUCGCGGGUCGCCGGGUCCGGAGCCGCCCACCAGGUUGCCAGGAGGAGGCGGGAGCGGGGAGGCGCCCGAGGUGAGACAGGGGCACCCUCUGCAUCAUAAAGGACCCAGACCCCGGCACCCUCAACAUCAUAAGGAAUCAGACGGAUGCGGAAACCGAGACGGGCUGGAUAGGAAACUCUUUCCAGGAAGGCUCCGGGGCACUCAACUGGUCUCCAACCUUCCCCUGCAACCUGUGACGCCUGCCAUUUUCCCAUUUUAGGCGAUGGCAACGCAACCCCUCCGUUUGCUCUGGGCAAAACUUCGAGAGUUCCCUCUGAAGCUGGAGCUUUUUCCUCAGAUCCAAGAUCCAAUUGGUCACCAAUUCGUGAUUUCCGUCGGCCAAGUGCGUGGGCAUUGAUCUACACGCGAGUUUCUCCACCUCUGCCGAAUGGCUACUUCGGGGUGGGGGAGGGGCCCUCCCGCCGUGGAUUGCAAGGUGUUUAGCAGCAUCUGUCUCCUCCGCUGACUAGACACAUGCCAGGGGGAUAACAUUCUCCCUCCCGCUUCCCCCAGCCGCGGCCUAGUGUCCCAGCGGGGUUGGGAGAGGCAUGUGAGGGCGAAGUUGCCCCCUGUUGAGAACCAUUGCUGCGCGUAGUCCUUCUCUCUGAACUUGUGCAGAGGACUCUCCAGGUGAAGGCUCAAGGGUGGAUCCAGCUCGAGACACCCUCGCUCCCCCUCACAGUCGGACCUUAGGAUUUAGGCUUUAACAUCUCCACAUCAUGAGAUUCGAAACCUUUAGGUCUUGUCUUCCGUUCUGUCCUCCAAAUCGGCCUCUUCCGAGCCUGUUGACCAGGGCCAGCCGGGCAGAGGGCUGGGCUCGCUCAACGAGGCUCCUCUCGCACCUCCUGGAGCUUCAGGCUUCUUUCCGUUGCAGAGAAGCUUUAUGGGCCAAUUCGUUCGGCAUCCCCGGGGGCAGGUGCGCGGUGCGCGGGGAAGAAGAGGAUUUGACUGCGGUUCUCCACCCCCGGCGCCCAACCUCCACCCCGGUGCGCGCGCUCUUCCAGGCUCCUGCUGGUCCCACUUGCCAGGAGUUAGGUCUCAGGUCAGCCUGAGCUCCUGAGACGCCCAGGCCCGGAAAGACACGUAGGGGAAACCAUCUGCUCACUUCUGUCCUGUCCGGAAGGGAUCCCUUUCUGACGGGAAAGAAAGGCGCUAAACAAGCACUGGCCUUGAGAUAAGCAAUGCUGAAGCACUUGCAGCUCACCUAUUACCAUAAACUGACUGAGCCCUCCCUACACAAGCCGUAACUACUGCUUUGAUUGGACAAGAGACUGAUUUCAGUAGUUUUCUCUUGAUAAGAGACCACUGGCCGUGGGCGGGUUCUGGACAGUUUACAGAAGCUAUGCACUUGAUUGCCUUUGUGUCCCUGCUUCACCUUUUGAAGCAUAGGGCCUAAUUAUAAUGUAUUUAAAUGUUGUCUCCACCCCAAAGUGAACAUGGGUUGCAUGUAACAGGCAUGUUUACUCAGCAUGCAUGCAGCAGGAUCCCUUCACAAAUAUUCAGAGCUCCCCCUAUUCCCUGUUGAAUAUGUAUAUGUGGCCAGCCAGAUCAACGUAAAUCACUAUUCGCCCUCCCCUCCCUGGAAACCUACUUUUCGGGUUUCAGCAGGAAGCUAUGCCUCCCAGUCUGUCAGAAUGGCCACUUGCAGGCUGUAACCCUUUAUAAAAAAAUAAAAUCUCCUUUCUAAAUUU
ensembl:lncRNA LINC00869 long intergenic non-protein coding RNA 869